CAUUCAGCCAGCUCACUGCCUCUGGUACAACUCGAACAGAGAGAGAGAGAGAGAGAGAGAGAGAGAGAGAGAGAGGUAGUUCAGGAAAUUGAAACCGCUUCAGUUCGAACUUUUCUUUUUUUCACUCGUCUCUUUUAAAACUUUCCGUCCAGCCUCCCUCACUCUCACUUCUGUGUUGACAGUCACUUGAAAGUUUGACAAACUUCACAGCAAUGCGGUGACCAAAGUGCAACAGGGUGCAAGACAGAAGAGGAAAAAGUGCACCGGGACACUGACACCCCUUCUCGGCUCGCUGGUUUGGGGUCUCCACCGCAGGACAGAAGGGGACAAACUGCCACCUGCCUCCCCUGCAGCUGCGUGUGAGAACAAAGAGUCUACUAGAAGAGCCGUGAGCCUGGUACCCUGGACCGGCAGAAGUUGCCAACGCAGAAAUGAAAAAAGGAAAUUGAUAAAAAAAAAAAGAAUAUAA
ensembl:lncRNA